GCCAGGUGCGAGCCGAAGACGAGAGGCCUGCGUCCAGGGCGCCGCGGGCUUUCGGCCGGUCCUCGGCUUUCUACGAGCGUCCCCAGAAUUUGCAAGUCACCCCCGUUAGCUCCAUUGCGACCUGACAGCAGCCUGCCGUCUGGGCUGAUUCAUUGGUUCGCCCUCCCCUUCCCGCCGGACCCGGGUGGGAAAUCCUUUGAAACGAGUUGUAAGGAGCUAGCUGCCCGCAGCGAUUAAGCUUAGGAAGAACCAUCCCUGCUCUCCCGGGAAACACCCGGGGUUAAGAAUCCUUUGAAACAAUCCCGGAGCUGGCUCCGUUAGCUUGAGAAAAGCCUCUUUUAUUCGCCCCAGUUGCUUGGACUGAAGCCCAGGUUAAGGUCCCGUCCCCACUCCUCCCUGCAGGGAUCGCCUGUAAAAAGCUUUUGAAAGGGACUGGAGCGGACUCUGCAGCAGCCCGCUCAGGGCUGGAUAGCAGAGGGCGGCCAGCAUUUCACUCCCAUGGACCAUGGCAACCCAGAAGUUUUGCAGCUCCAGGCAGGACUCAACAGCUGUCGGGGAAGCCCAGGAGUUUGCAGUGACUGAUGGAUAAGGGGCCCGGGCUUCCUCCUCUUUCCCGGUAGAAGAGAAUAAUCUGGAGGAAGGGUGACCUGCCCUGCUGACCUUUAUUCAAAAGCACCGAGCUGCCCAGACCAACAGACAUGCACACAGCUGGCGGAGGAAACCACCCUGGAAGUGCAGGAAAUUUUGAAAGAAAUGAAUUUAUCUGCGAGCCCCUCCCAUCCAUUCAAGUUCUUUAAAAUCACAGGAUAUUCUUUCACCUUAUUCGACAUCGCCCUAAUUUACAAAUUGCAAGAUCGGAUGGUGGCGGUACUCCUGGAAUCCAGUAUCCAUAUUCCUAUUCUGAAAAGCACACCUCACCUCCUUCACCUGGAACUCUUUUCAGCUUUUAAUAUGCAACCGAUGUGGUCAUAGAUGCCCUAGAAUGAAUAGAAGACCGCAGUGCUAAUGUGGGGUGAAACUGUUAACACUGGUUUUCUCUCUUCUACUCAUUCUGCUGAGCCUAUAUUUAUUUAAAAUAUGGCUGUUUUGUUACUCGUGGGUUAAUUGGCAUUGAUUCUGAUUUUUUUAAAUUGUAGUUGUAGAUGGACAGAAUGUUUUUAUUUUAUUUGUUUAUUUUUUUAUGUGGUGCUAAGGAUCCAACCCAAUGCUUCACACAUGCUAGGCAAGUGCUCUGCCACUGAGUUACAACCCCAGGCCCUAAUUCUGAUUUAAAAUAUUAUUAACCAGGACUAUUGACUUUUUAGCGCCCCCUUCAAUAUUGUGACCAAAGCACUAUAGAACUGAGAAAGUUUCCUCAGUCCUACCACAAAUGAAGCACUCAAAUUCUGUUUUUAGAUGGAUUCACU
rnacentral:lncRNA from 1 species